AGAGUUUGAUCCUGGCUCAGAUUGAACGCUGGCGGCAUGCCUUACACAUGCAAGUCGAACGGCAGCACGGGAGCAAUCCUGGUGGCGAGUGGCGAACGGGUGAGUAAUAUAUCGGAACGUGCCCAGUAGUGGGGGAUAGCCCGGCGAAAGCCGGAUUAAUACCGCAUACGACCCAAGGGUGAAAGCGGGGGAUCGCAAGACCUCGCGCUAUUGGAGCGGCCGAUAUCAGAUUAGCUUGUUGGCGGGGUAAAAGCCCACCAAGGCGACGAUCUGUAGCUGGUCUGAGAGGACGACCAGCCACACUGGGACUGAGACACGGCCCAGACUCCUACGGGAGGCAGCAGUGGGGAAUCUUGCGCAAAUGCGGGAAACCGUGACGCAGCGACGCCGCGUGGGGGAAGAAGGCCUUCGGGUUGUAAACCUCUUUCAGGAGGGACGAAGCUACUCGGGUUAAUAGCCCAGAGGGUGACGGUACCUCCAGAAGAAGCCCCGGCUAACUACGUGCCAGCCGCCGCGGUAAUAC
rnacentral:rRNA from 1 species